rnacentral:rRNA from 1 species
GACGAACGCUGGCGGCGUGCUUAACACAUGCAAGUCGAACGGAAAGGCCCUGCUUUUGUGGGGUGCUCGAGUGGCGAACGGGUGAGUAACACGUGAGUAACCUGCCCUUGACUUUGGGAUAACUUCAGGAAACUGGGGCUAAUACCGGAUAGGAGCUCCUGCUGCAUGGUGGGGGUUGGAAAGUUUCGGCGGUUGGGGAUGGACUCGCGGCUUAUCAGCUCGUUGGUGGGGUAGUGGCUUACCAAGGCUUUGACGGGUAGCCGGCCUGAGAGGGUGACCGGCCACAUUGGGACUGAGAUACGGCCCAGACUCCUACGGGAGGCAGCAGUGGGGAAUAUUGCACAAUGGGCGGAAGCCUGAUGCAGCAACGCCGCGUGCGGGAUGACGGCCUUCGGGUUGUAAACCGCUUUCGCCUGUGACGAAGCGUAAGUGACGGUAAUGGGUAAAGAAGCACCGGCUAACUACGUG